UAUCUAUCUAUCUAUCUAUCUAUCUAUCUAUCUAUCUAUUAUAAUUCAUAAUUUAUGAGAACAUUUUCAUUUUUAAUGUAAAACAGUGGUUUUGAAGUUUCUGUGAUUUCAGAUGUUUCUGACUUUUCCCUUCUCAUGUGUCUAAUGUAUUUUCUCCUCUAAACAUUUCAGGUCAAUUAAUUACCUACUCAGAGCCCAUAAAUGUGAAAUGAUCCAGUCUUUAAUAAAACAGACAAGCCUGAAGAACAAUACAACAGCAAACAAUUGUAAUGUUUCUACUUGUCUUUUGACCUUUUAACCUUUUGGAGAGAUUGUUGCUCUACUGUCUGGAUUAAAACAUCUAAAAUAUGAGUACAAAACAGAGAAGAUCUAGGAAAGCUUCAUCCACCCUGUAACCUCUCAUGGUUCCCUGAAGGAAAGGCCUAAAUUUAGCCUGCAACUGCUUUCUGGCCUGUUCUGGAAACGUGGGAAUGGAGGGAUCAUCAGGUUUAAUAAGGAAGCAGACACGGAUGCCGGCAGGUCUGAGCUGGGGCUUUAAGACGCUCAGAGAAUCUGCUGAAGCAAAAGGUGAGCCAGCAGUAAACGUACCUGCUGGGAGAGAGAGAGAGCGCCGCACAGGAAACAGGUGACUGCUUUGGCCGCUCCCAUUGAGAUGCUAAUGGGUCCAUGAGCCUGAAAACUUGUCCCCGGCGUUUGGACGGCGUCACGGGAGCCUCGUCGACCUUCUCUCGAGUCCUGGAGAAGCGAUUUUGAGAGAGAACAGAAUGUACCAUAUUCUUGACCCGUCUGCCUCAGAUGCUCGCUGUAUAUGGAACUGAAUACUGGACGUGAAUUGUAUCAUUCUCUGUGUCAACUUGUUAGAUGGCAGUUGCUGUAGUGGAGUGGUGAGAGCGGCACAUAUGCAUUAUAGGAGAAAAUUGUGAAAUGACAGAUUCCGGGUGUGAUACUGAGGGAAUGACUAACUAAUAGGAGGGGUGCUCCAGGCUGUUAGCUUUGAAAAGCAGUUUGCACAUUACUUUAUCUUGUCAAUCAGAUUCCUGGAAUGGAAGAGGUGACUGAUAACUUGAAUUAAUUAUUUUCUUAUUGCAUGCAUGUGUUAAUUCAUGUUAAUUUAUGUCCCUUACAGGCCCAAGCCAGAAUAUCCAGAGUAAAGCGCCACCUCUGGCACCCAGAUCACCACACCACUCUCUUUGCAUAUAUUUAUAUCAAAUGAAAGACUUUUUUUUAAUCCCGCUGGAACAAGGACCGACUGCCAAAUUUGAUUUUUAAAUGUACUUUUAAGCUGUUGUGGUUUACGUUAGCGUGUUUUUUCCCAACAACUGAGCGACGCGGAGCGGCAUUUGCGGCCGCGACGGGAUUUGAAAGUUCCAUUUUUUUGAUGGAGCAGAACCCCGAGAACGCGCCCAGAUAACAGGACGAGGCCCAACGUGGAGAGACAAGACUCAGCGAACCGGUUUUAGCGCGCCGGAGCUCUGCCCGCUCACUUUAAACAAUUGCAUUUCGCUGAACAUCUUUAAGCAUUUCUGACAAAUUUAACUUCCACUGAACACGGGGGAUGAGAGGAAAAACAUUUCUCUGAUGAGAACAGAAACAGCAAGAAGUUCUAACAAGGAAAAGCCUGCCAGGUGGCGAACUGGCUGCACCAACAGAACGCACAAUCUGUCUGCUUCUCCUUCCAAACCAUUGACAGCUGCCAUCACCAGCCUUGCACACUCGCACUCAGUGGCUCCUCAGCUCCCUGCCCAUCCCUCUUUAGUGUUUCCUGCUAACCUCAGAGACAGGGUCACCUGGCCCCCUAGUUGCCCGUCUGUGGGGCCCUGAUGGCCCCCUGGAGACCUGCCUGCAUGGGGAUGCGUGGCUAACAGGGGUCUAGCAAACUCUCUUUAAUAUGCAAACCAAGAGGCGAUUCCUUUGACCCGAGACCGUCGCUUUUCUAACAGUGAAAUCCAAAAAUAUUCAACGAUGAGAUUUGAUUAGUGCUUUUUGAUCCGCUUCUUAUUUGAUGCUGAAUAUUAUCACAGACAAACAGUCCCAUAAUCAGGUGUAUUCUCCAGUCAGGUGGGUCGUUUCUUUUUAAUUACACGUACGCGCGGCGCGAUAGAAUCGCAUUAUGUUCUUCCCCACCUCGUUGGAAAAGGCAGUUUGGGCGUUUUGUUAAACUGGAACCGCAUUUCUCCUCUGAGCGGAACCUAAGCGCACAGAUGCACAGAGGCUAAACUGAAGAGUGUUCCACAAAGCUAGCAUUGCAACUGGGCUAAAAAUAAAACCUGGCAAAGUUGUUCUGAUCCCUUAUUGGUCCCAUAGUUUGAUUUCACAUUUAGCAUUUGCAUUCCCCUCCGCAUAAACAUUUCAUUCUUCCCCUCCUGCAGUACAAUGAGACUUGAGUGACUUUGGCAGCAGAUUUUGGAUCGGUGCUCCUGAAUCCACCAGUGUAUGUUAUCAGCAGGUAAACAAGCUUUCGAACAAAGCCAUAAUGGAACUGCAAGCGGCAUAAAGAGGCUCAUCUCAAAAGCUAUACAACCCAUCAAAGCUGGUGUCAUUUCCUCAACACUGCACUGCAGCUGGAAAAUGCAUGGCUGUUAGUUACAGUUUAAAUCGCCCGUCUAUUUUCAGACACUUCACAACUAUUUCUAUUGAUUAUUUACUUGUCAGUAAGCAGCCAGAUUACCAAAAUAAGACAACAGAUUUGAAUGUUUACUGGAUUCUUCUCCCUUUUUGUUUGGUGGUGGGGAAUCAAAAACUGUGUCACGUACUAAAUUAAUGGGAUUUGCACUAUAGGGUGUUAAUAAUUAUUUUCUGGUGAAAAUGAAAUAGUUCUGUCUAUAUUUGGAAGGAUUACCGAUGGCAUUGAACUUAAUGUGAAAAUAAUUUGCCCUUUAAAUACGUGGUGACGCUAUAUCCUCCACUUACUGCUCACCAGAUGCAAUCUUGUUAACCGCACGCCUGGAUGCUUGUCACCAAACUUUCCACACAUUUGCCUUUUGGGUACGGCUCAGACGCAGAACUAAACCUACGCACUCUCCUCCCAGUGAGUGAAGGAGCCUCAAAGCCUCCCUUUCAAAUGCUGCAUUAUCUCUGUGGCGGUAAUUAUCCAUAAAACUAUGCCAUCAGAUGGUGAUGAUUUCCAAUAUGAACCCAAUAAACGUGUUUAAAAUUUGAAUUAUCAUAUUUAUGUGGAUAUGUGUUACUAAUAGUGAUUAUGCUCGUCAUGUGGGUAGAAAAUCAACCAUCCAUAUAUUGCGCAUUCUCACAUAUUUCUCAGACAUUUCAUCACACGUUUAAUCUGCCCCUGUCUAAGAUUUUCCACCGAACCUGUAGUCAAGGCACAGAGGGGACAAUAACGGAUGAGAUUAUGAAGCAUGUCUGUUAAAGCAUGUCUGUUUGAUCAUCAUUCUGUUUAGGUGAAGUUCUCCACUUGGUCUCUUCAGUCCCUGACAGCAGAUAUAUAACAUAAUCUCUUUCCCUAACCCUUUUCUUAGGUUUGAAUGGGGUGGAAAUGUGAUGGCAUUAAGUCGAUUUACUCCUUGGUUUGCAGUUUCAGCCUUAAUGCCUCUUGGCUCCUCUUCAACACACUCGUUCCAUUUAGAUUUUCGAAAAUAUAAAUGUUACGUUAAGGCUUCCCUAUUUAUUUUCAUUUAUCCAUCAUUUGAAGUUCAUGCAUAUAUUUAUUCGACAAAUAAUGCUUGUUUAUUUGCAGCUCCAUCCCUCCAGUAUAGAGUCAGAGAUAUUGGAAAAUCAAAUACAACUUGUGUAUUAUCUUCAAAUACGCCAGCUAUCAGUUACAAAGGGCAAGAUCUGAGACUGUAUGACAUUCUUUGUGAGUCGUCGCUGACAUCAUUGCGAUAUUUCACGUUUACUCAUCUAAACCUUAAUUUUGUGCCUGCAGCAUAUGUUGACAUGCAAAGAAAAGCUAAUACAAUGUCUUUGGAUUUCAGCUGAUGCUAUUUGAAGGCUGCAUUAAGCAUCUGUUAUUAUACGAUUAUUGAGGAGUAUUCGCAUUGAAUUGAUGCUUUUGUAACAAGUCACUUUUCCACUUUUGCAUAUUGUUAAUGAGGUGGUGUUAAAGCUGGGCAGGUUCCUCCCUGAAUCUGCUUUGUUAUUCCUAGCGCUAAAAAACUAUUUAAAGGCAUAUUUAGUAUUAAGUAACAUUAGGUCUUACAAGCCUCUGCACUAAUAAUGCCCAAUAUUAAAGGUGCAGAGAGAGUUUUUUUAUAUUUAUUAAGAAAGGUUCUCAUGAUGAUAAAGUCAGCUCAACAUUAACAGCAUGGUUGUUGUCUUUUAAAUCAUCUCUUAAAAUGUCUUUUGUUUUUUAAAAUAUAUAUUUAUUUAAAUCUGUAUAAAACGUGUCUGUACAGUAGAUUAAGGUGUGUUACUCUGUGUGUAUCCAUUUACUGUAGAAUAUAACUUGAUUUAUAUUUUAUGAUGAUUAUUCAUUUUUACUUAGAAUCUAUAUUUUUUCUCAUGUCCUCAUGGAACAAACCCUGGUUUAAUGAACGCCAAAUAAAUAGAA